AUUGAACGCUGGCGGCAUGCCUUACACAUGCAAGUCGAACGGCAGCACGGGGCAACCUGGUGGCGAGUGGCGAACGGGUGAGUAAUGCAUCGGAACGUACCUUUCAGUGGGGGAUAACGUAGCGAAAGUUACGCUAAUACCGCAUAUUCUGUGAGCAGGAAAGCAGGGGAUCGCAAGACCUUGCGCUGAUUGAGCGGCCGAUGUCAGAUUAGCUAGUUGGUGAGGUAAAGGCUCACCAAGGCGACGAUCUGUAGCGGGUCUGAGAGGAUGAUCCGCCACACUGGAACUGGGACACGGUCCAGACUCCUACGGGAGGCAGCAGUGGUGAAUUUUGGACAAUGGGGGCAACCCUGAUCCAGCCAUGCCGCGUGAGUGAAGAAGGCCUUCGGGUUGUAAAGCUCUUUCGGCCGGGAAGAAAUCGCACGGGCUAAUACCCUGUGUGGAUGACGGUACCGGAAUAAGAAGCACCGGCUAACUACGUGCCAGCAGCCGCCGCGGUAA
rnacentral:rRNA from 1 species